UACAGAGGGGGCAAGCGUUGUUCGGAAUUACUGGGCGUAAAGGGCGCGUAGGUGGCCUUCUAAGUUGAACGUGAAAUCCCUGGGCUCAACCCAGGAACUGCGUCCAAGACUGGGAGGCUUGAAUCCGGGAGAGGGAUGCGGAAUUCCAGGUGUAGCGGUGAAAUGCGUAGAUAUCUGGAGGAACACCGGUGGCGAAGGCGGCAUCCUGGACCGGUACUGACGCUGAGGCACGAAAGCGUGGGGAGCAAACAGG
rnacentral:rRNA from 1 species